GUAAGUAGCCUGCCCUGCGCCCUCAGCUCACGCGCUCACCAAAUCAGCUGUUGCUCCUCCAGACUGGACGCCGCGCGCUCUCUCUCCUUGCAUGCUCCGGCGUCGCCGAUCACGUAAAAGUGCAGUCCGCUUCUCGGUUCUUCUCCACCUGUCCUCCACCCCCCUCUCAGUGUCGGCACAAAGUUGCUGGGAGGACCGCGUCUGAAACAAAACUCAGCAUGUGGCAGCGCGAGUGUCGCAACAUCCGCGAGCGGGACCUCAGCGGACGGUCUGUGAUCUGAAACCCAAAAACAAAGAGACAGAUUACGAGGCUUGGAACGGCGGGAAGCCACGCAGAAGGCUGAGAGCAGCAGCCACUGGUGGAUCGAGAGCCUCCAUCACUCCGUAUGC
ensembl:lncRNA